rnacentral:rRNA from 1 species
GACGAACGCUGGCGGCGUGCUUAACACAUGCAAGUCGAACGGAAAGGCCCUGCUUUUGUGGGGUGCUCGAGUGGCGAACGGGUGAGUAACACGUGAGUAACCUGCCCUUGACUUUGGGAUAACUUCAGGAAACUGGGGCUAAUACCGGAUAGGAGCUCCUGCUGCAUGGUGGGGGUUGGAAAGUUUCGGCGGUUGGGGAUGGACUCGCGGCUUAUCAGCUUGUUGGUGGGGUAGUGGCUUACCAAGGCUUUGACGGGUAGCCGGCCUGAGAGGGUGACCGGCCACAUUGGGACUGAGAUACGGCCCAGACUCCUACGGGAGGCAGCGGUGGGGAAUAUUGCACAAGGGGCGGAAGCCGGAUGCAGCAACGCCGCGGGCGGGAUGACGGCCUUCGGGUUGUAAACCGCUUUCGCCUGUGACGAAGCGUGAGUGACGGUAAUGGGUAAAGAAGCACCGGCUAACUACGU